CCUACGGGAGGCAGCAGUGGGGAAUAUUGGACAAUGGGCGAAAGCCUGAUCCAGCAAUUCCGCGUGUGUGAAGAAGGCCUUCGGGUUGUAAAGCACUUUAGUGGGGGAAGAAACAGCUUGGCCACACCAAGCCUUGACGGUACCCCAAGAAUAAGCACCGGCUAACUCUGUGCCAGCAGCCGCGGUAAUACAGAGGGUGCAAGCGUUAAUCGGAUUUACUGGGCGUAAAGGGUGCGUAGGUGGCUAUUUAAGUCGGAUGUGAAAGCCCGGGGCUCAACCUCGGAAUUGCAUUCGAUACUGAGUGGCUAGAGUUCGGUAGAGGGCGGCGGAAUUUCCGGUGUAGCGGUGAAAUGCGUAGAUAUCGGAAGGAACAUCAAUGGCGAAGGCAGCCGCCUGGGCCUGGACUGACACUGAGGCACGAAAGCGUGGGUAGCAAACAGGAUUAGAUACCCUGGUAGUCCACGCCGUAAACGAUGAGAACUUGACGUUGGUUCGUUUUACGAAUCGGUGUCGCAGCUAACGCGAUAAGUUCUCCGCCUGGGGAGUACGGCCGCAAGGUUGAAACUCAAAGGAAUUGACGG
rnacentral:rRNA from 1 species